rnacentral:rRNA from 1 species
UUAGGAAUUUUGCGCAAUGGGCGAAAGCCUGACGCAGCAACGCCGCGUGAGGGAAGACGGCUUUCGGGUUGUAAACCUCUUUUAGCAGGGACGAACACAAUGACGGUACCUGCAGAAAAAGCACCGGCUAACUACGUGCCAGCAGCCGCGGUAAUACGUAGGGUGCAAGCGUUAUUCGAUUUAUUGGGCGUAAAGCGCAUGUAGGCGGUUCGGUAAGUCUGGUGUGAAAGCCCUCGACUCAAUCGAGGAAGUGCAUUGGAUACUGUCGAACUGGAGUACAGGAGGGGUGAGCGGAAUUCCAGGUGUAGAGGUGAAAUUCGUAGAUAUCUGGAGGAACAACAGCGGCGAAGGCGGCUCACUGGACUGUAACUGACGCUCAGAUGCGAUAGUGUGGGGAGCAAACAG